rnacentral:lncRNA from 1 species
CGUUGGGGUAAAUCAUGCUGUGUUUAUUGUACGGAGAGAGAAACUCUUCAGAAAUAACACCAAUACAAGAUAUCAGGUGUUUAAAUAUGGACAUAUUGGUCCCAUAGCAUUCACCAGCAACAUGAACAUGUUCAGGACAAUCAGGAAGGUAGAGGACAUGAGCAUGUUCAGGACAAUCAGGAAAAUAAAGGACAUGAGCAUGUUCAGGACAAUCAGGAAGGUAGAGGACAUGAGCAUGUUCAGGACAAUCAGGAAGAUAGGACAUGUUCAGGACAAUCAGGAAGGUAGAGGACAUGAGCAUGUUCAGGACAAUCAGGAAGGUAGAGGACAUGUUCAGGACAAUCAGGAAGGUAGAGGACAUGUUCAGGACAAUCAGGAAGGUAGAGGAGAUGUUCAGGACAAUCAGGAAGGUAGAGGAGAUGUUCAGGACAAUCAGGAAGGGAGAGGACAUGUUCAGGACAAUCAGGAAGGUAGAGGACAUGAACAUGUUCAGGACAAUCAGGAAGGUAGAGGACAUGAACAUGUUCAGGACAAUGAGGAAGGUUGAGGACAUGUUCAGGACAAUCAGGAAGGGAGAGGACAUGUUCAGGACAAUCAGGAAGGUAGAGGACAUGUUCAGGACAAUCAGGAAGGUAGAGGACAUGAGCAUGUUCAGGACAAUCAGGAAGGGAGAGGACAUGUUCAGGACAAUCAGGAAGGUAGAGGAGAUGUUCAGGACAAUCAGGAAGGUAGAGGACAUGAACAUGUUCAGGACAAUCAGGAAGGUAGAGGACAUGUUCAGGACAAUCAGGAAGGUAGAGGACAUGAGCAUGUUCAGGACAAUCAGGAAGGGAGAGGACAUGUUCAGGACAAUCAGGAAGGUAGAGGAGAUGUUCAGGACAAUCAGGAAGGGAGAGGACAUGUUCAGGACAAUCAGGAAGGUAGAGGCUAGAAACAUUUCAAUCAAACAGCCCAGAAACACAAUAUUACACAUUCAGUGUGAAAGUUAGACAUUGUAUAACAUGUAGAACAUUAAAUAAUAAAUAUAGUGUCAAAGCUUUUUACCCUCUAAACUGGACUUGAUGGGAAUGAAGACAGGAGAUAUGAGGGGGGUGAUACUGAUGGGAGAUAUGGGGGGGGUGAUACUGAUGGGAGAUAUGGGGGGGGGUGAUACUGAUGGGAGAUAUGAGGGGGGGG